AAUGAAGUGCCUGAUUAAAGGGUUACCUUGAUAGGGUAAAUAAAGUAAAUAAAAAUUACCUUCAUUA
rnacentral:tRNA from 1 species